UGCUUAGAGGACUAGUGAUUAGGCCUCGGCGCUCUCACCGCCAUGGCCGGGGUUCAAUUCCCCGGCCAGGGAA